AUUGAACGCUGGCGGCAGGCCUAACACAUGCAAGUCGAACGAGUGGCGGACGGGUGAGUAAUGUCUGGGAAAAUGCCUGAUGGAGGGGGAUAACUACUGGAAACGGUAGCUAAUACCGCAUACCAUCGGAUGUGCACAGCUGGGAUUAGCUAGUAGGUGGGGUAACGGCUCACCUAGGCGACGAUCCCUAGCUGGUCUGCAAGGAUGACCAGACACUCUGGACCUGAGACACGGUCCAUGAUCCGCAGGUAUGCAGCAGUGGGUAAUAUUGCACAAUGGGCGAAGCCCUGAUGCAGCCAUGCCGCGUGGAUGAAGAAGGCCUUCGGGUUGUAAAGUACUUUCAGCGGGGAGGCGUUACCCGCAGAAGAAGCACCGGCUAACUCCGUGCCAGCAGCCGCGGUAAUAC
rnacentral:rRNA from 1 species